GCUUACGGCCAUAUCAGCCUGGGUACGCCCGAUCUCGUCUGAUCUCGGAAGCUAAGCAGGGUCGGGCCUGGUUAGUACGUGGAUGGGAGACUGCCUGGGAAUACCAGGUGCUGUAAGCA
rnacentral:rRNA from 1 species